ensembl:lncRNA
GCGAUAUUUAGACAUCAGCCAUCACAGAGCGAAAGAUUAAAUGAUGCCGUCCAAUCUUGCAGAGCAAUUGCACUCGCCGCUCUCACAUUUUUAGUAGUGUAGUAAAAUAGAUCUCAUCAAACCACAGUAUUUAAGCGUGAUUUACGGUGCUGUUGGAAAUCUGUGUGCAUGUCAAGUUUACCCGCAGAAGCGCCCGUCCCCGUGUGAGUGACAGCUGCUCCAUCGCCAUGGCAGCGGAAUCUCGCGGUGCUGAUGCUGGGCUGCGCGGUUGUCAUGGCACCUGGAGGAACACUCAACUUUUCAAGCAGGAAUGCUAAAAUUGAAAGUAUUUCUCCUCUGGUGCGCUCAGUGAAGUUAUGCUUUUCGCUGUGGCUCCGUGUCGUGGAGGUAAUUGAUGGCAGAAUGAAUGGGAGAGUCGCAGGCGACCUGCAUGUAUAGAUGUGGAUUUAUCGCUCCGGAUCCCUCCAACAAUUUCAUCAAAAGCCCAUUGGCCUGCAGCGCUUCUCCCGUGAUAAAUCAGCCGGGCGCGGAGCGGAUGAGAGACAGAUGAGAGACUGGAGCAGAGGACAGACAUCUCAGGCCUUCAGGGAGGCAGAUUACCUGAUAUUCAGAGUACUCCAGUCUCUGCUGUCCCAGAAGCGUUCUUCAUGUCAGAUAUGAGCUUUCUGGAGCCCUGAGGGGCAUCUCAGGCAUCUUACAUCAAAAUUUCCUGCUAUGGAGUUUUGAAAACAGGACAGACGCUACAGCAAACUCUUACAGAAUCCAUUCAUGCACC